GACGAACGCUGGCGGCGUGCUUAACACAUGCAAGUCGAACGGAAAGGCCCUGCUUUUGUGGGGUGCUCGAGUGGCGAACGGGUGAGUAACACGUGAGUAACCUGCCCUUGACUUUGGGAUAACUUCAGGAAACUGGGGCUAAUACCGGAUAGGAGCUCCUGCUGCAUGGUGGGGGUUGGAAAGUUUCGGCGGUUGGGGAUGGACUCGCGGCUUAUCAGCUUGUUGGUGGGGUAGUGGCUUACCAAGGCUUUGACAGGUAGCCGGCCUGAGAGGGUGACCGGCCACAUUACGCCUGAGAUACGGCCCAGACUCCAAUGGGAGGCAAAGGUGGGGAGUAUUAUCCAGUGGGAGGGAGCCUGGUGCAGCGCCGCCGCGUGCGGGAUGACAGCCUUCGGGUAGUAAACCGCAUUCGCUUGUGACGAAGCGUGAGUGACGGUAAUCGGUGAAGAAGCACCGGCUAACUACGUG
rnacentral:rRNA from 1 species